rnacentral:rRNA from 1 species
CUGGCUCAGGACGAACGCUGGCGGCGUGCCUAAUACAUGCAAGUCGAACGGUCUUUCUAUGGAAGCUUGCUUCCACUGAGAAGAUAGUGGCGAACGGGUGAGUAACACGUGGGUAACCUGCCCAUAAGAGGGGGGAUAACAUCCGGAAACGGGUGCUAAUACCGCAUAGUUUUCUUGAUCGCAUGAUCGGGAAAGGAAAGACGGCCUUUGUGCUGUCGCUUAUGGAUGGACCCGCGGCGUAUUAGUUAGUUGGUGAGGUAACGGCUCACCAAGACGAUGAUACGUAGCCGACCUGAGAGGGUGAUCGGCCACAUUGGGACUGAGACACGGCCCAAACUCCUACGGGAGGCAGCAGUAGGGAAUCUUCCGCAAUGGACGAAAGUCUGACGGAGCAACGCCGCGUGAGUGAAAGAAGGUUUUCGGAUCGUAAAACUCUGUUGUCAGAGAAGAACAAGUUGGAGAGUAACUGCUCCAGCCUUGACGGUAUCUGACCAGAAAGCCACGGCUAACUACGUGCCAGCCGCCGC